GACAGCCAGGAUGUUGGCUUAGAAGCAGCCAUCAUUUAAAGAAAGCGUAAUAGCUCACUGGUCGAGUCGGCCUGCGCGGAAGAUGUAACGGGGCUAAACCAUGCACCGAAGCUGCGGCAGCGACGCUUAUGCGUUGUUGGGUAGGGGAGCGUUCUGUAAGCCUGCGAAGGUGUGCUGUGAGGCAUGCUGGAGGUAUCAGAAGUGCGAAUGCUGACAUAAGUAACGAUAAAGCGGGUGAAAAGCCCGCUCGCCGGA
rnacentral:rRNA from 1 species